rnacentral:rRNA from 1 species
GACGAACGCUGGCGGCGUGAUUAACACAUGCAAGUCGAACGGUAAGGCCCUUCGGGGUACACGAGUGGAGAAAGGGUGAGUAACACGUGGGUGAUUUGCCCUGCACUUCGGGAUAAGCCUGGGAAACUGGGUAUAAUACCGGAUAGGACUCCGGACUGCAUGGCCAGGGGUGGAAAGCUUUUGCGGUGUGGGAUGGGCCCGCGGCCUAUCCGCUUUGUGGUGGGGGUAUGGCCUAGCACGGCUACUACGGGUAGCCGGCCUGAGAGGGUGACCGGCCAAACUGGGACUGAGAUACGGCCCAGACUCCUACGGGAGGCAGCAGUGGGGAAUAUUGCACAAUGGGCGCAAGCCUGAUGCAGCGACGCCGCGUGAGGGAUGACGGCCUUCGGGUUGUAAACCUCUUUCAGCAUCGACGAAGCGAAAGUGACGGUAGGUGCAGAAGAAGGACCGGCCAACUACGUGCCAGCAGCCGCGGUAA